UAUUUACCGUUAGUUAGAAGCUUAUGGAGAGCUGUUGUAGUGAAGUAGGGAUAUGAGAAAAGGAAAAGGACAAUAAAACACUCCAAACUCCCUUCAGCACCAACCCCCAGAGCAACUCCACACAAAUGUAACACAGUUGCUGCCAAAGCUUCAUCAAGAUCCUGCCUUUUAACAUUGCCCAUGGCACAACUCAGGUAUUGCAGAUCAGUCAUAACUCAACUUCGAAACCAGUUACAGAAGGAAUACCAUCUGCAACACCACAAGGGUGAGUACUGACAGUAGAUUGGGCUACAGAUCAGGUCAGCUGUGCUUCUUUCAUUCUCAAAAGGAAGUUGAAAAAGGCAACUGAAGACAGACUUUAUCCAGUCUGAAGAGCACUUUACUGAACAACUCAAGGACUCCUUUAAUACUGCAAGACACCAUCCCGCGUUGACUCCAACUUCACUUCAAAGUCUGAAAGGAGGACACAGAGUUCUGUGAAAAUCAGUGGGAUGCUGGAAAGCUAAGACAUAAGCCAAGCUGUUUGUUACAAAGAUGCUGGCCAUCAUUCCAGAGGGGAUAUCACAGAUCUAACCCCUACAAAACAUCUGGCAACAGGAAUGUUUUCUACACAGGCUGUGAAAAAGUAGGCUGAGAAAGUUUUUGUUGGGGGCCUCAGCCUGGCAUCCAGCUGUGUGUCGUUUUUGUGCACUACCAGUUAUAUAAACCAGUAAUAUUUUAUUAAUGUAUAUGGUCUAUCUAAUGCUAUACUUUGUACAAGUGUUUUCCUGACAAGUAUGUCUUUUUGAAAUGUUGGUAUUUUGAGACAGCGUUUAGAAAAUUCUUCUGUAAUUAUAUUUCUCUCAAUUACAUGAGGUUGAAAUCCUAAAAAUCUCUCUACUUGAUAUUGAAUCUCUUAUCUGGAAAAUGCUGAAUUUUUGCAUGUGUAAUCAUGUCUCAAACCCCAUAGAUAAUAUGUUCAUACUUUCAGAUUACAGCAAGGGAAGCCAAAUCUUACUUUUUGAACCGUUGAAAAACAUUAGCUGUGAUUCUAAGCCUCUAAUCUCAGGACAACAGAUGACAAAGCUAGGACAUCACAGUGCAGCACUGACUGUCUAGUGACAGAAAAUGUCUGGCUCUAAAAGAAAAUCCACAGUACUGUUAUGUUUGCUUGGAUAUUUUAAAUACAAAGAAUGAUCUCUGUGGGUUCUGCUGUAUCCUUCUAUCUAAACAGAACAAUGCCACUUGCUGCAGCAGGGCUGCUCUCCAGCUCCCACAGCUCUGCUCAGCCCACCCAUGGGCCCAGGGAGGUGCCCAGUGCCUGCGGCUGAGUCUGCCCCAGUGCCCCUGGCUGGGCCAGUGGGACAGGCACUGGCUGACAUGCCUUGCCCUGACAGAUCCCGAUGGA